UCCCUGGUGGCUCAGAGGUAAAGAAUCUGCCUGUAAUGCAGGAGAUGCAGGUUCGAUCCCUGGGUUGGGAA
rnacentral:tRNA from 1 species